GUUCCUGUAGCUCAGUUGGUAGAGCAUGGUGUUUGCAACACCAGGGUUGUGGGUUCGAUUCCCACGGGGGGCC
rfam:Salmo salar isolate Sally breed double haploid chromosome ssa26, whole genome shotgun sequence.